rnacentral:rRNA from 1 species
AGCGGCGGAUGGGUGAGUAACACGUGGGGAACCUGCCCCUAAGUCUGGGAUACCAUUUGGAAACAGGUGCUAAUACCGGAUAAUAAAGCAGAUCGCAUGAUCAGCUUUUGAAAGGCGGCGUAAGCUGUCGCUAAGGGAUGGCCCCGCGGUGCAUUAGCUAGUUGGUAAGGUAACGGCUUACCAAGGCGACGAUGCAUAGCCGAGUUGAGAGACUGAUCGGCCACAUUGGGACUGAGACACGGCCCAAACCCCUACGGGAGGCAGCAGUAGGGAAUCUUCCACAAUGGACGCAAGUCUGAUGGAGCAACGCCGCGUGAGUGAAGAAGGUUUUCGGAUCGUAAAGCUCUGUUGUUGGUGAAGAAGGAUAGAGGUAGUAACUGGCCUUUAUUUGACGGUAAUCAACCAGAAAGUCACGGCUAACUACGUGCCAGCAGCCGCGGUAAUACGUAGGUGGCAAGCGUUGUCCGGAUUUAUUGGGCGUAAAGCGAGCGCAGGCGGAAAAAUAAGUCUAAUGUGAGAGCCCUCGGCUUAACCGAGGAACUGCAUCGGAAACUGUUUUUCUUGAGUGCAGAAGAGGAGAGUGGAACUCCAUGUGUAGCGGUGGAAUGCGUAGAUAUAUGGAAGAACACCAGUGGCGAAGGCGGCUCUCUGGUCUGCAACUGACGCUAAGGCUCGAAAGCAUGGGUAGCGAACAGGAUUAGAUACCCUGGUAGUCCAUGCCGUAAACGAUGAGUGCUAAGUGU